rnacentral:tRNA from 1 species
GCGCCGGUGGUUUGGUAGUAGAAUGCUCGCCUACCAUGCGGGCGGCCAGGGUUUGAUUCCCGGCCGGCGCA